rnacentral:rRNA from 1 species
CACGUAGGGGGGCGAGCGUUGUCCGGAUUUAUUGGGCGUAAAGAGCUCGUAGGCGGCUUUGCAAGUCGGGUGUGAAAUCCCCAGGCUUAACCUGGGAACUGCAUUCGAGACUGCAUCGCUAGAGUAUGGGAGAGGGAAGUGGAAUUUCCGGUGUAGCGGUGAAAUGCGUAGAUAUCGGAAGGAACAUCAGUGGCGAAAAGCGGCAUCCUGGACCGACAUUGACGCUGAUGAGCGAAAGCUAGGGGAGCAAACGGG